GUCAAGCUUCCCUUGUUGGCUGCUUACUGCAUUACACAUCGAACAAUACUUACUGAGUUUGUCUACUUACCAGCCGAAUCACAGAAGGAAACAAUAGCAGAAGAUCUAAUGGAAUGCAAUUUUGACGUUUGAGAAAACUUGCUAUCAUUGGCAUAUUGAUGAUUAACCCCCUUCUCCAAAUCUUUGUUUCCAGUAUCAGACUUUUUUUUGUGGUGUGUUGAAGAGAAGUCCUAAAUGCAUACUGAGAAAAUUAC